UUUUUUAGUUUGCCCUGAUGGCUGGUUUCCUUUUGAUCACCAUUGUUACUUCUUCAACAAAACCAUAAAUAACUGGAAUAAUGCAAAGGAACUCUGUGAACAAUAUGGAGCUCACCUUGUUGAGAUAGAUACAUAUGCAGAAAAUGUAUGGAUCAUGGAAGCUUUUCUUCCUUCUUGGAAUGACGUCGACUGCUCCAAAUGGUGGAAAUGUUGCAAUUAUUGGAUUGGGGCAACGGACAUCGAUAACGAAGGAUUUUUUACUUGGAAUCGCCUAACCAAUGUAACAUUUUCAAACUGGUACAAGAAUCAGCCUAAUAACUCAAAUAAAAGAGAACACUGUGUCGAAAUUUGCCGAAAUGGAUUCUGGAAUGAUGAUAACUGCAAUAGGAAUGAUGCAUUCAUUUGUGAAAAAGAGUUUUAAUUCAAUCACAGUUUUUGAAAGUUGGGAAAGUGUCAAAAUUGUUUAAUUGUAGAUGUAAAUGGGAGUUAUGGAUUGCUGCACUUUUAACAAUUUUAUUGGAACGUUUUAGCAAGAACAAAUAUUACUUGGAGCUUCAGUUAAUUUGUAGCAAGUCUCCUCUUCAUAUAUGUAAUUUCGAUACUCAUUUUGGCGGAAUUUCAGAGGUAAAGGCGUAAUCCUUUAUGUUUCCCUAGUUUGAUGUUUUGCAAUGAUACUAUAAUGUCUAAAUGAACCUGUAAUUGUACAUCAUUGAACAAAGCAAGCAUGAACGUUUCAUUUCAAAUCAAUUAUUGACAAA